rnacentral:rRNA from 1 species
UACAGAGGGCGCGAGCGUUGUUCGGAUUCACUGGGCGUAAAGGGUGCGUAGGUGGUUGGGUAAGUUUGAUGUGAAAUCUCUGAGCUCAACUCAGAAACUGCAUUGAAUACUAUCCGGCUAGAGAAUCGGAGGGGGGACUGGAAUACUUGGUGUAGCAGUGAAAUGCGUAGAUAUCAAGUGGAACACCAGUGGCGAAGGCGAGUCCCUGGACGAUUUCUGACACUGAGGCACGAAAGCUAGGGGAGCAAACAGG